GACUUGUGGAUCCAGUCUUCAGGGUCCUGGAGGCACUUUCACAUCACCAAAUUUUCCAUUUCAGUAUGACAGCAAUGCUCAGUGUGUGUGGGUCAUCACUGCUAUCAAUACUAAUAAGGUUAUUCAGAUAAAUUUUGAAGAAUUUGAUCUGGAGAUUGGCUAUGACACGCUGACAAUCGGUGAUGGAGGAGAAGUGGGUGAUCCUAAAACUGUGCUUCAAGUGUUAACUGGGAGCUUUGUACCAGAUUUAAUUGUGAGCAUGAGCAAUCAGAUGUGGUUGCA